CUAAAACCCCACAUCGCCCUAAACCCCACGUCGCCGCUAAAACCCCACGUCACCCCUAAACCCCACGUCGCCCCUAAAACCCCACGUCGCCCUUAAAACCCCACGUCGCCCCUAAAACCCCACGUCGCCCUUAAAACCCCACGUCGCCCUUAAAACCCCACGUCGCCCCUAAACCCCACGUCGCCCCUAAAACCCCACGUCGCCAUUAAAACCCCACGUCGCCACUGAACCAAACACAACAAGUCCCCUAUGAAACCAAACAGAGCGUAGCCACUACGGAUGUUGAUGGCAGUCAUCUAUCAUACACUAGAUGAAGGGGGCCCCAUUUUAAUCCAGUCUUAGAAGGCAGCAUGAUUCAUCUGUGCACAGAUAAGCCAAGCAGCUAGCGUUUGAUCACCAGGCGUUGUGUGUGCUCUGCAGACAGCCCAGGUGACCCCACGAUUAGAAAUAGAACUAUGUACCCAUGGGAUUGCUGUUGACCGUUGUUCAAAAAUGUAUCAAUGGGAAAUGUAAGGUUAAUUAAUAUUGUACAUUCCUCUAAUUAUCUUCUUCGAUGAACACUCUGAUCAAUCAAUGGCACAAAUAAUAGAUUUUAUUUCCGUGAAUUGUCAAGUUUGAAAAAAAAAUGACUUUAUUUUCAUGGUUGAAAUAUUUGUAUGAUAGUGUGAGAUUUGUCUAAAUAAUUGUGAUUAUGUGGAUAUAAUGUAGUGUACAAAAUGAAACUCGUUUUUUAAAAAAUGCAAUAGCAGACUUAAACCACAGGGUGGCACUGUUGGCCACCAGAGGAGUACCUGACAGUAUCCGUGUGUUUCCUGCCUCACCCUGAAGACAGUGAUGAUACACACAGAGCACGCUGUGGCUCUUCUAAAAAAAAUACUCUACUACAUUACUCUGAUCUGAAAGAAAUGACAAGGUGGGUGGCUGGAUCCAAUCUGAAUCGACAAAGUAGCGCGGAACAUUCACUUUAUUGCUUGAUUGAAAUUGAAUGGCAACGUUCCCGCAUUCAUGGAGACUGCUGCAUUCACGGCAAACACUGCAUACAUGUAUGUCGGCUCAAUUGGAAAAUGACUCUAAACUUUUAACACAGAUCUGCUGCGAUACUUCCGCGAUGCAGAUUGAAUCCGGAUCUAUGGCAAAGUACUUUCUAAACAGUCCAGAUGAAGGAAAGAUGAUUAUGAGAGAACAGAUUUUUAAGUGACUGAGAAUGAGAUAGAGUCAACGUGUUUCUGGCAGCCAACCCGGAUAUGAUUUAUAAUGUUUGUUACAGGCUUUGACCAACCCAGAUAUGAUUUAUAAUGUUUGUUACAGGCUUUGACCAACCCAGAUAUGAUUUAUAAUGUUUGUUACAGGCUUUGACCAACCCAGAUAUGAUUUAUAAUGUUUGUUACAGGCUUUGACCAACCCAGAUAUGAUUUAUAAUGUUUGUUACAGGCUUUGACCAACCCAGAUAUGAUUUAUAAUGUUUGUUACAGGCUUUGACCAACCCAGAUAUGAUUUAUAAUGUUUGUUACAGGCUUUGGCCAACCCAGAUAUGAUUUAUAAUGUUUGUUACAGGCUUUGACCAACCCAGAUAUGCUGUAUAAUGUUUGUUACAGGCUUUGACCAACCCAGAUAUGCUGUAUAAUGUUUGUUACAGGCUUUGGCCAACCUGUUGUCAUUGCCUGAACAGCAUCUCUGUGUCUGUCUGUUAGCCUUUUGUUAAAGUCGUCUUUAUGGAGACAUUAUGUAGAGUUGCUAUGUAGCCCGUGAGCACUGUACCGCAGGUAGAGACCCUGGAGUUGAACAUCUGAUCAAACAGAAAACCAGCGACAGAACAUGUCUUGUCUGUCUCAGUGGUGCAAAAUUCUGGUUAACUUGAACAAAAUUCCCCAGGUUUUUCAGAAUACGGUUUGGAGGAUUCCCGUAUUGCCUGGUUUUUCUUCACUUCAUUCCGGGGAUUCCCGUAUUGCCUAGUUUUUCUUCACUUCAUGGGGAAAUGUUUCAACCCUAGAAGUGAUAGAUCUCCAAUGGUGGCAGCCAAUACACAAUACCCAGCACAGGAUAUAAAGUCCAGGCACAAACAGAGAACGCCUCUAUAGAUUUCAGUAAAGCACAGCAAUAAAGAGCACAUCUGAAGCACAACUGUGGAAGCACAAAGGAAGUGAGAUAACAGAAUAGAUUAUUUGCAUUGUUACCAACAAAUAGAGCACAGCAUUUACUCAUAGCAUUGUAUUGACUGGUGGAUCACAACCACAGGUUGCUAGGGACUAAAUGGUCAUGUUGGAAGACGAGCAAGCAGAUCUCUUAGCUACAUACCCAUACAGGCUACAGUACGCGUAUGGGCUAAUGUGUACAGCAGCAACUCACAGGUUGUAUGCCAAAUGGCAUUCUGUUCCCUAUAUAAUGCAUUUGGGACGUAAACACAGGAAACCUAAACUCUUUCUCCCUUUAAAAAAGCCAUGCUACGGAUUGUAUAGCACUUAAACAGACUAACAUGGUUCAUUAAUUAAUUAUACUAAAAGAUCAUAGAGGAAAUGAUUACCAAUUAGAGAGCUAGAAUCACUUGAACUAUUAUUGAUGGAAGGAGGCCAGGGAGGGAGGGAGGGAGGAAAAAGAGAGAGAGGGAUAGAAGGAGGUAGAGAGAGAGGAAGAGAGAGACCGGGAGAAAAAGAAGUAGAGAGAGAGAGGAAGAGAGAUUGAGAGAGAGGAAGAGAGAUAAGGGAAAGAGACAGAGAGAAAGACCCAGAGAGAAGGAGGUAGAGAGAGAGUGAAAGAAAGAGAGAGCAAGAGAGAUUGAGAGAGAGGGAGAGAGUUGAGAAAGAGAAAGCAAGAGAGAGGGAGAGAGAUGAGGGUGAGUGAAAGAAAGAGAGAUUGAGAGAGAGGGAGAGAGAUGAGAGAGAUUGAGAGAGGGAGAAAGAGAGAGAUUGAGAGAGAGGGAGAGAGAGAUAGAGGGAGAGAGAUGAGUGAGAGAGAAAGAGAGAUUGAGAGAGAGAGAGAAAGAUUGAGAGAGAGGGAGAGCGAUGAGGGAGAGAGAGAAAGCCCCGGAGAGGAGGUAGAGAGAGAGAGAGAUGAGAGAGAGAGACCCAGAGAGGAGGUAGAGAGAGAGAUGAGAGAGAGACCCAGAGAGAAGGAGGUAGAGAGAGAGAGAGAGAUAUAUACAGAGAGGAACAGUCUAAAAUGAUACAAAAGGCACACAAAGUGGACAGAGACUAGAAGGUGUAUAUUGCACAUUGCCUUUAAUCAUUCAUUUGCCUAAAAUGACGUUAAAUUCCCUAAAUCACUUAUUGAGGUAAUGUGAUGUCAACUCCAGGGCCUGUAUGUAUUAUCACUGUCUCAUUACUGCCUUGUACAAGUACAAUAUAUUCAUCCUGUGUAGACUAACUCAAUUUCUCUCAAAUUACAGUGAUAGUGUAUUUAUAUAACAGUGAUAAUAUGCUUUAUUCUGUGAAAGAUCAAUAACCGAACUACAGUACUUAGUGGGGGAAGUGUAGGAUUCUACAACGUGAUGUUAGCUCACCCUGGUAGUGGUGUAGAUGCACCAUUCACUUCCAUUGAUUGUUAGCUAGCGGUGGCUAAAAGUAGCUAACGUUUGUAGAUUCUGUUUGGAGAAAACCGCUCCGUUAGGUACAGUUUCUCCUGGCCCGUAAUACGAAACCAUUUAACAUCAAACUGUAAAAUCCCCUAACUUCCCCUUUUUUUUCUGUAUAUUUACUCUGUAGAUGUUGAUGUACAUUCUGUCAAAUUGAAAAUGAAUAUAUCUAUCUAUAAAUAUAGUAGGAGUGACAGGGUGAAUACUUGAGCUGUAUAUAAUAAUUGUAUAUUUUUAGAUAUUUCCGAUUUUUCCGAUUUUUGUACGUAAUGUACCCUUAUUGUGUCUGUAGAUUUACGAUGUAAAUAUAUUAUUAGUGUGAGAUUGUUGUUCUCAAUCAAAAUAACUGGAGAGACUGUACCUUGAUGUGUGUGUGUGUGUGUGUGUGUGUGUGUGAGUAUGCGGCGCGUGUGUGUGUGCAUGUGUGAGUAUGCGGCGCGUGUGUGUGUGCAUGUGCGUGUGUGUGUGAGUAUGCGGCGCGUGUGUGUGUGUGCAUGUGCAUAUAUGCGGCAUGUGUGUGUGUGAGUAUGCGGCGCGUGUGUGCGUGUUUGUGUGUGAAUACGUGCGUGCGCGCGUGUGUGUGUACAUGUAGAUGUCAUGUACAUGUUGUUAAAACUAAUUGUGUGUUUCUUGAUUUCCACCUUCAGUGAUUUCAGCUUUACUAACUGUAGUCAAGUAGACGUGAACUCAGUUGUAAUGAUGUUAAGCAACCUAUCAGUGUUAUGUGUCUCUUCAGUUGCUCUUCAGGUCAACUUUCUGACCCCACAGAAACGGCAACAUUAACAUGGUCCCACCCCACCAAAAAAUACUGUGUGACAAUUCAUGAGCAUUAGUACUGUAGAAAUCUAUCUUUUUGUCUUAGACAAAAUGGAAAUAAAAGUUACCACUUGUAUGAACCACGUUAUACAGUGUGUAGGUAGUGUCAUUUAUUUUAUAGUAUAGAUAUUUCAUUUGA
rnacentral:lncRNA from 1 species